GAUGAACGCUGGCGGCGUGCCUAAUACAUGCAAGUCGAGCGAACAGAUAAGGAGCUUGCUCCUUUGACGUUAGCGGCGGACGGGUGAGUAACACGUGGGUAACCUACCUAUAAGACUGGAAUAACUCCGGGAAACCGGGGCUAAUGCCGGAUAACAUUUAGAAUCGCAUGGUUCUAAAGUGAAAGAUGGUUUUGCUAUCACUUAUAGAUGGACCUGCGCCGUAUUAGCUAGUUGGUAAGGUAAUGGCUUACCAAGGCAACGAUACGUAGCCGACCUGAGAGGGUGAUCGGCCACACUGGAACUGAGACCCGGUCCAGACUCCUACGGGAGGCAGCAGUAGGGAAUCUUCCGCAAUGGGCGAAAGCCUGACGGAGCAACGCCGCGUGAGUGAUGAAGGGUUUCGGCUCGUAAAACUCUGUUAUUGGGGAAGAACAAACGUGUAAGUAACUGUGCACGUCUUGACGGUACCUAAUCAGAAAGCCACGGCUAACUACGUGCCAGCAGCCGCCGCCGUAA
rnacentral:rRNA from 1 species